rnacentral:rRNA from 1 species
UACGGGGGGAGCAAGCGUUGUUCGGAUUUACUGGGCGUAAAGGGCGCGUAGGCGGCGCAACAAGUCACUUGUGAAAUCUCCGGGCUUAACCCGGAGCGGCCAAGUGAUACUGUCGUGCUAGAGUGCGGAAGGGGCUACUGGAAUUCUCGGUGUAGCGGUGAAAUGCGUAGAUAUCGAGAGGAACACCUGCGGCGAAGGCGGGUAGCUGGGCCGACACUGACGCUGAUGCGCGAAAGCCAGGGGAGCAAACAGG